GACGAACGCUGGCGGCGUGCUUAACACAUGCAAGUCGAACGGAAAGGCCCUGCUUUUGUGGGGUGCUCGAGUGGCGAACGGGUGAGUAACACGUGAGUAACCUGCCCUUGACUUUGGGAUAACUUCAGGAAACUGGGGCUAAUACCGGCUAGGAGCUCCUGCUGCAUGGUGGGGGUUGGAAAGUUUCGGCGGUUGGGGAUGGACUCGCGGCUUAUCAGCUUGUUGGUGGGGUAGUGGCUUACCAAGGCUUUGACGGGUAGCCGGCCUGAGAGGGUGACCGGCCACAGUGGGACAGAGAUACGACCCAGACUCCUACGGGAGGCAGCAGUGGGGAAUAGUGCACGAUGGGCGGAAGGCUGAUGCAGCAACGCCGCGUGCGGGAUGACGGCCUUCGGGUUGUAACCGCUUUCGCCUGUGACGAAGCGUGAGUGACGGUAAUGGGUAAAGAAGCACCGGCUAACUACGUG
rnacentral:rRNA from 1 species